CUUGAUUUAUCGUCCAGGCUGGAAUGCAAUGGCGCGAUCUCGGCUCACUGCAACAUCCGCCUCCUGGGUUCCAGCAGUUCUCCCAGCUCAGCCUCCGGAGUAGCUGGGAUUACAGGCAUGCACCACCAUGCCUGACUAAUAUUUGUAUUUUUUAGCAGAGGCACGGUUUCCUCAGGUUGGCCAGGUUGUUCUCAAACUCUUGACCUCAGGUGAUCCACCCAUCUUAGCCUCCCAAAGUGCUGGGAUUACAGGCGUGAGCCACCGUGCCCGGCCACACAUCCAUGGUCCAUGUUUCUUUCUUUCUUUUUUUGUUUGAGACGAAGUUUCGCUCUUGUUACCCAGGCUGGAGCACAAUGGCGCGAUCUUGGCUCACUGCAAACUCCACCUCCCAGGUUCAAGAGAUUCCCCUGCCUCAGCCUCCCGAGUAGCUGGAAUUACAGGCACCCGCCACCACGCCCGGCUAAUUUUUGUAUAUUGAGUAGAGAUGGUCAACCAUGUUGACCAGGCUGGUCUUGAACUUCUGACCUCAGGUGAUCCGCCCUCCUUGGCCUCCCAAAGUGCUGGGAUUACAGGCGUGAGCCACAGCACCCGGCCCCCUACCGCAUGUCCAUGUUUCUAAACGCAGUUCUCUUUCCAGGACACCCUCCCAAUGGACAACUCAGCAAUGUUUUUCUUCUUCUAUUGUUUUGUUUCUGGGCUUAGAAAGCCUGUCACUGUCAUCCUGUGUCUCUGAGGACCACCAUGGCAGGUCCCUCGAGACUCUGUGGGUGGGUCUACUCUCCCUGGAGGCCCAGCUGCCAGGGAAGCUCCCUAGAGGAGCACGCCACCCUCUGCUUGUUGCCUGAGAGGCGUCUCCUGGGGGCCUGCGAUCAGAAGACAUUCGCCUCCUCCACUUGGAUCCUUCUCUCCCCACUAGACAGGGGUCCUGUUUCAUUCCCCUUGGAGUUCCUGGGAUCUGGCACAUACUAGGUUCUUUGUAAAUGUUUGUGGCCUGAGUAAACACCCUGUUUCACUGUCAAGAAUCAUUUCAAUGGUCUCAAACCAGUUUGCUCGCCGAUUGAAUGGAUUAAACCAACAGAGCCACUAUUUUAAGCCUCCUACUGUGUGCCUGCAUCUGAUGUAUGUCAUCCAAGCGGGUCUGUUACAGGAAAGGAGUCCAGAUCCAGACCCCAAGAGAGGGUUCUUAGAUCUUCUGCAAGAAAGAAUUCAAGGUGAGUCCAUAAAGGGAAAGCAAGUUUAUUAAGAAAGUAAAGGAAUCAAAGAAUUUUUGUAUUUUUAGUAGAGAUGGGGUUUCACCAUGUUGGCCAGGCUGGUCUUGAACUCCUGACCUCAGGUGAUCCACCUGCCUCGGCCUCCCGAAGUGCUAGGAUUACAGGCAUGAGCCACCGUGCCUGGCCUUAUUUCUUGAUUAUUGCUAAACAAGGGGUGGAUUAUUCAUGUCUCCCCUUUUUAGACCAUAUAGGGUAACUUCCAGACGUUACCAAGGCAUUUGUAAACUGUCUUGGAGCUGGUGAGAGUGUGGCAGUGAGGACGACCAGAGGUCACUGUCAUCAUCAUCUUGGUUUGGGUGGGUUUUAGCUGUCUUCUUUAUUGCAGCCUGUUUUAUCAGCAAGGUCUUUAUGACCUGUAUUCUGUGCUGAUCUUUUAUCUCAUCCUGUGACCUAGAAUACCUAACCAUCAGGGAACGCAGCCCAGUAAGUCUCAGCCUCAUUUUACCCAGCUCCUAUUCAAGAUGGAGUUGCUCUGGUUCAAAUGCCUCUGACAAGUCUAUUACUGUGGCCAUUUUACAAACAAGGUGACUGAGGCUCAGAAAGGUGGCAUUGUUCACUCAUACCCACAGAGCUAAGACAGAGCGGAAGUGGGAUUCAAACCCAGGUCUGCAGGAUUUGGAGGUUUCCUCCAAACCCAUCCUCUUUCCAGAACACCUACUCCCUUCAAAUCAAUCUUCCAUUUGGGGGCUAUGAACACAUAUCCUUAGUCCAGAUCUUUCAGAGACUAAAUAAAAAACGUUCCAUCUUGAUUCCUUUUUUUUUUUUAACUUCAAGACAGGGUCUCACUAUGUUGCGCAGGCUGGUCUUGAACUCUUGGACUGAAAGGAUCCUACCGCCUUGGCCUCUGGAGUAGCUGGGACUACAGACGUGCACAAUGCCCCCGCCCCGCCAGCCCGACAUCAAGCAUUCUUGAUGGUGGGUUUCUCAGAACCUCUCCAGCCUGCUUCACCAAGGUUCUCAGGAAACCAGGGGAAUGGUGACCUGCUACCAGAAAUCUCGUCACUGCUUUUGCAGAAUUAACAUCAUCCAUCAGCGCCACUGCCCUGGAGGGGCUGGGAGUGUAGGGAGACAGGCAGCUUCAGCCUGCAGGGUUACACCCUGGAGACAUCCACAAGAGACUCAAUUUACUUCUGGACAGAAACCAGCAGGAUCUCCUUGUGCCAUGGCCCCCAGAUGGGGUCUUACUGUAUUGCCCAGGCUCGUCUCAAACUCCUAGCCUCAAGUGCUCCUCCCAACUCAGCCUCUGCAGUAGCUGGGAUUACAGGGCAUGGGCCACUGUGCCUGGCUCAACAAAUAUCCUUCCAAGAGAAGACGAAGAGAGAAGACAAUUACAAAAGGCCAUGUGAAGACAGAAGCAGAGAUGGGAGGGAGGCGGUCACAAGCCAAAGAAUGCCCGCAGCCACCAGGAGCUGAAAGAGAAGGAAAGCUUCUCUCCCAGAGCCUCCAGAGGCAGUGUGGCCCUGCCAACACCUUGAUCUCAGAUUUCUGGCCUCCAGAAUCGUGAGAGAAAAAAUUUCUGUUGUUUUAAUCUCCAAGCUUGUGACAAUUUGUUACAGCAGCCACAGGAAACAAGCACACCGCCUUUCUGUUUUUUCCUAUUCACCUCACUCCUUCCUUCUGCCAGGCACUGCCUGACCAUCCCGGAAGUCCACAGCCCCACAACUUUCUUCUUGCUCAACAGAAUCAUUUUCCCCGCUGCAAGGAGAAAGCAGGGGUGCCCUUGGUGGCUGUAUCUAGUGGAGGCCACAUCAGGGGACCAUUUUCACUUUUUUUUUUUUUUUUUUUUUUUGAGACAGUCUUGCUGUGUCGCUCAGGCUGUUGUGCAGUGGCACGACCUCGGCUUACUGCAACCUCCAUCUCCAGGGAUCAAGCAAUUCUUGUGCCUCAGCCUCCUGAGUAGCUGGGAUUGCAGGCAUGCACCACCACACCCAGCUAAUUUUUGUAUUUUUAGUAGAGAUGGGGUGUCACCAUGUUGGCCAGUCCGGUCUCAAACUCCUGGGCUGGAGUGAUCUGCCUGCCUCAGCCUCCCAAAGUGCUGGGAUUACAGGCAUGAGCCACCGCCCCUGGCCCCAUUUUCACAAUUUUUGCUUAUGGAUUUAGGAAUCUCAUGGCUAAUCCCACGAGGACCCCUUAGCUCUUCUCCGGUUGCUUACUUACCUCCUCCUGCCCCUGCCAGUGCGCUCAGCCCCCAUCUGCCGGGCUGCUUCCUGGCCGUGUUUCCCCAGUCUCUCGCCCACCCAGACACGGGCAGCAGGGUUCUGCUUCCACCUGCCAGCAGUAUGAAUAAUGCAUUAUACAUAAAACAAUGCACAAAUGCAAUGAGAGAAAAAGAACAUUCUCAGUACUUUUGCAUAUAUCGUCUUCACAAAAUAGUUACCGUUACUAUUCUUGUCUUCAGAUGAGGAAACUGAUGCUCAGAGAAGCUAAAUAACUUGCCCAAGGUCAUACAGCCAGAUGAGCUGGGUUUUGAACUGAGACCUGCUUAAUCCCAGACAUGCUGGGUUAGAAUCUAGACUCAGCCACUUGCUAACUGUGUGAAACUGAACUUGUUACUUUUUUAAACAAUUUUUUAAAUUUUAAUUUUAUUUCUUUCUUUAUUUUUUAGAGACAGGGUCUAGCUCUGUCACACAGGCUAGGGUGCAGUGAUACAAUCAUAGCUCACAGCAGCCUCAAACUCCUGAGCUCAAGGGAUCCUCCUGCCUCAACCUCCCAAGUUAGCUGGGACUACUGAACUUGUUUCUUCUUUUUUUUGAAACAGAGUCUUGCUCUCUUACCCAGGCUGGAGUGCAGUGGCUGGAUCUCGGCUCACUGCAGUCUCCACCUCCUGGGUUCAAGCAAUUCUCCUGCCUCAGCCUCUCUAGUAGCUGUGACUACAGGCAUGCACCACCAUGUCCAGCUAAUUUUUGUAUUUUUAGUAGAGACAGGGUUUCACCGUGUUGACCAGGCUGGUCUCAAACUCCUGACCUCAAGUGAUCCACCCGCCUCGGCCUCCUAAAGUGCUGGGAUUACAGGCAUGAGCCACCAUGCCCGGCCCUGAAUUUGUUUCUUACCCUCUCUUCACCUCCAUUUCUGAAUCUAUAAAAGAGAAAUAAUAAAAUGCCAGUCUCAGAAGGUUGUUGUUUAAGGAUUCCAUGGGGUUCCUGUGUAAAGCCAUCGCUUGGCACAUAGUAAGUGCUCAAUAAAUGACAGCCAGUAUUGUCAAUGUCAGUGCUGGUUAUAGCAAAUUUGUAUUCAGAGUACAUCACGCUCAGCUCAGCACUCCACCAGGAGAGGGUUUUGUUUGUUUGGUUAGUUUUCUAAAACAAUUGCUCAUUUUUAUUUUAUUUUGAGCCAGCGUUCUCUCUCUGAGUGGACCUAGACGUGCAUUCCGGGGCUGUUUCUAUUUGCAGUCUGAAGUCAGGCCUGGGGCUUGUGGCUGUUUUUGCCAUCUGGUCUGGGGCGAAAGGGCAAAUCUGCAAAGUCUCUCUGUUGUGGCCAGCGAGGGAGUCCCAUCCCCAUGAAGUCUGUCUUUUGCAGCAAGCUUGAUUCUUUGAAAAGUUGAAGAUCUCCAGGCUCUGAAGGCUCAGUCAAAGGGAAAAUGCCUUCUCCUCUGGCUUAUUUGCUCAGGGUUUAAAAGGUAUUUCUGGGCUUUGGCUAAGAGGAAAUUUAGCUUUCGAGCAAAUCCUUGUGCAUUGGUUUUCUGUAAACAUCUAAAUGUGGUGUGAGCAGCUCGGAGCCCACUCUGCCUGGCUUUUCCCAGAUUUUACAGCCAAUUGGGAUGAUGUGAAGUCAGCGUGAUAUUUGUAGAGUGGCAUCUGUUUGACAGGCAGGUUCCUGAUGUUACUGCUAGGGUUGUCCCCCCAGAUCCAUACUGGAGAUAUGCAAAGCGAGCUGGAGUGAGUUGGGAGAGGAUGAAGGACUGAGUCACGUGAAUAAGACCUUCUUCCCAUCAUCAUCCAGGAAGUGUCCUUGUGGGCAAAGGACCUCUGAGAUGAGAGGUUCAUUCAGUCACUUCCACAAAUAUUUACUGAGGACCUAUGGUGUGCCAGGCCCUGCACCCAAAGCAAGGGAAUAGACCUUCAUGAAGCUUGAGUUCUGGUGGAGGCAAGCCCUUUCCCAAGGCAACUCGAGACCAAAAUAUGAUUAUGUAAAAAAAAAAACCACUUCUUAUAGCUGCCACCUGUAGUCCCAGCUACUCAGGAGGCUAAGGUGGGAGGAUUACUUGAGCCCGGGAGUUCAAGUCAGCAGUGAGCUAGGAUUGCACCAAUACACUUCUUAAAACAUCUGUAUGAGUAAAGGUAGCUAACUGCUGUAAAAACAACCCCAUCUCAGUGAGUACCCCAGUAAAGGUUGAGGUCCAAACCACAGUCCAAUACAGCUCAAUUGGGAGGUUGGAAAGAGCUUUGCUCCAUGCAGUCACUCAGGGAUCCAGGCAUCCUCCAUUUGAUAGUUUCAUUGUCCUUCAAGAUCUCAGGAUCUUCCAAGGGACUCUCUGCUGUGUCUGGCCAGCAGAUAUAGGAUCACAGGAUUUUGUUUUUUUUAAGGCUCAACCUGGAAGUGACCUUCAUCACUUACUCCCACAUUCCAUUAGUCAGCGCUCAGCAAUUGCCGGGGCCCCUUUGUGUGUCUCAGAGCCUGAAUAUAAGAUUUGGUGAACCCACAGCAUUGUCUCUGUCACAGGAUCUAUUGCCUGGGACCAUGUGUGCACCCUGGAGAGAGUGACCAUGGUGCUCAUGGUAAGUGUGGCUAACAAAAAUGGCACACCCACAUCCCAAGUGCCAGCUCUCUGCUCUCUCUGCUCACAGUGAAGACAGAGUGUCCUCUGAGCCCAGACUCCUGUCCCUGCACCCAGCUCUGCUCUGCAGUAAUUGAGACUCCUUGGGCAACUUGUCUCCCUUCUCCAAAUCUCAGUUUGCUCAGCUGGAAAAUAGAGAUGCUAAUCACAGCACUCACGUCACAGGUGUUUUGUGUGACAAGUGAGUAAGAUGGGAGAGAAGAAGCAAGUUCUAAGUCCAAUGCCUGCCUUGUGAUCAAUACCUUAUAAAUAUGGGUCAUGAUGCAAUAUUUUCAAGUCCAGACUCAGGGCUGGCUUCCCUCUGCCACUUGUGCACUGUUUAAUGACUUGUGGCCAGGUCACCUUGACCUGCCCUAGCUUCAAUCUCUGAAUCUCUGAAAUAAAGUACUCAUUAUCCCUGCCCUGCAGAGCAGUGUUAGGAUCAAAGACAAUAAAUAAAGCAGGUAAAAGGCUUACCACGCAGCUUGACACGUAAUACGUGCUCAAUCAGGAUUAGUUAUUAUUAUUAUUAUAUAAGCACUUUUACAUAUUACCUCAUUUAAUUCUCACAUCUACUCUCUGAGACAGAAAACAACAGGUAGGGUUGCCCAUUUGUGUAUGUUCCAGAAACAAUCACGUAUUCUGGGAAUGAAUGAAUGCAGGGAGGAAUGAAUGAAUCACCACGAUAAUUUGUGUCUUCUGCGACAGUGGGUGCAUAGUCUCUAUUUCUCGGAGCAAUGGUGAUGUCUGCCAAAAUAAAUUAACUUUCCCACAUCAAUGACUCAUUUGGCAGGAAUAACAGCCUUGCAAACUGAAUAGAGAAUGAAGAAGGAGGACGCCUCAGGCAGGGGGAGAGAGAGGAGUUUGUAAUGACUCAAGAUACAAGAACCAGCUUCUUAUUCAUUCUCUUUCUCUCCCUAACCAAAAAUGUAGGCCCUUAUAUACAUAUACAGUUUUUGAGACAGGGGCUCGCUGUCACCCAGGCUGGAGUGCAGUGGCACCAUCUUGGCUUACUGCAACCUCCGCCUCCCAGGCUUAAGUGAUCCUCCCACCUCAGCCUCCCCAGUAGCUGGGACUAUAGACGUGAGCCACUGAGCCCAGCCAGCCUGAUAUACAUAUUUAACCUUUUAAACUGGAGAAGUGGAAGUUCCACGCUAUUAAGUGGCUUUGGAUAUCAGAACCAUAAAAAGAAGCUUACAGACAGCAUCAUGUAACCUUUGCUGGGUGGACAGGGGUCCAGGACAGGACAGGUGUCCAGGACAUCAUGUGACCUUUGCUGGGUGGACAGGGGGUCCAGGACAGGACAUGGGUCCAGGACAGGACAUGGGUCCAGGACAGGACAGGGGUCCAGGACAUCAUGUGACCUUUGCUAGGUGGACAGGGGUUCAGCGCUCACACCAUGUGUGGCAGGGCCAGCGCUGGGCCCCAGGACACCUGACUUCCAUCCAGUGCUCCUUCCUUAUCCCACUGCUUCUGGAUCGAUGCAGGAUCUUCUCAGACACUUCCGCCACCUGGCCAUUCUCACACUCUGCUCAAGACUCCUUCCAUGGCCGGGGAAACUUCAGGACAGAGCAAAGAAAGAUCAAAGACUGAGACUGCAGAUCCUCACGAGGAAGAAUAAAGGAGUUGGGAGGAGAUGGCUAAGAUGGACUUAAUUACCUACUUCUCAUCUGCAUGAGGGUUGUAUGAGGAGGCAAGUUAUCUGCCCUCUUAAACACUGCACAAAUGAUAUUUACCAAUUGAUGAGUUUUAGGCUCUUCUGACGUUUGCUGAGUUCAUGAUUCAUUCACAAGAGGGACUUUGAAUCUACUUAAAAAUACUCGUGGAGCUGAAAGAAGCAACAACUUAACGCUAGGUCCACACAGUUCAGGAAGAACCGCAGCUCAGGUGUGGGAUGAAUAAGGUUAAUUUAACACCACACUUCAUCCUUUUGAAAAGAGUGGCUCCAUUUGUGUGUGUGUGUGUGUGUGUGUGUGUGUGUGUGUGGCGGGAGGGUGGAGGGUAGGAAUGGCGUUUCAUUCUUGGGAUAAAUGAAAGAUUAAUUCUAAAGUCUUAUUUAAAUAACUCUCGAAGAGGCGCUAGAGAUGAAAUUACUCUUAAUUGGCCAACUUAGCACUAGCUCUUGAAUGCUCAAGUGAGUGGAAUGAGAUUUCAGUCUGUUUAAAACUUUAACUUGUCAUCUUCUUGUCUCACUCCCUCCUUUCCAGGCCAAGGACUUACUACUCUUCUAUUGGAACCAACUCCAACAACCUUCUGCUUCUACUAAUCAGACACAAGGCAGCAUCUGGGGUGGGAGUAGGUUGGAAAGGAGUGAGCUUCUGUUUUAUUUUUCCUUCUUCAGCAAUCGCGAAGGUAUAUCCACGCAGUAGAGAUGACAUGACCUGGAAUCGAAUUCUGGCUCCACCACUGCCUAGCCAUUGAUCUCGGCCAAAUCACUUAGCAUUCCUAAGCCUCAGUCGCUUCUGUGUUAAAAGGGCUUAUAAUACCUACCACAAAUGUUGUGAUCAGUGGUGCUGGUCAAUGUUUAAUAACUAGUUCUCUGGAGGAAAACCCUGGUAUAUAGCAUUUGCCCAUUUCUAUGGUGUAAAUACUCCCACCAAAGUCAAUCUCAAACUCCCAAGGGGAGGUCACUGAACACAGAGUUGGGAAGACAGGCACAGGAGCAGACACUGUAGAGAAUUUUCACCAAACAGAUAUCAUAAUCUUAAGAGCAUAGGUAAUGGGAGAACAUAGUAAAUUAAGAAGUGAGGAGUUUUAGUGUUAUUACUUUUAUCUUUCAAUUCAAUGUAUCUAUUUAAUUGUAAGUUUAUAUAAUUUUUUAUUUUUUUUCGAGACAGUCUCACUCUGUUGUCCAGGCUGGAGUGCAGUGGCACCAUUUUGCUCACUGCAACCUCUGUCUCCCAGGUUCAAGCGAUUCUCCUGCCUCAGCCUCCCGAGUAGCUGGGAUUACAGACACACACCACCACACCCAGCUAAUUUUUGUAUUUUUUGUAUUGACGGAGUUUCAUCAUGUUGGCCAGGCUGAUCUCCAACUCCUGGCCUCCAGUGAUCCGCCCACCUCGGCCUCCCAAAGUGCUGGGAUUACAGGCGUGAGUCACCACGCCCAGCCCAUACAAUUUCUUUUCUUUUCUUUUCUUUUCCUCUUUUUUGAGACAGGGUCUUGCUCUGUCACCCAGGCUGGAGUGCAGUGGUGUGAUCAUGGCUCACUGCAACCUCAACUUCCCAGGCUGAAGUGAUCCUCCCACCUCAUGAGGAGCUGGAAUUACAGGUGCAUGCUACCACGCCUGGCUAUCUUUUUAAUUCUUUUGUAGAGACAAGGUCUCCCUAUGUUACCCAGGCUGGUCUUGAACUCCUAGGCUGACGUGAUCCUCCCAGCUUGGCCUCCCAAAGUGCUGGGAUUACAGGAGUGAGCCACCACGCCCCACCAGUUCAUAUAAUUUCUUUAAAAUAAUAGUUGUGCCUUCCUGUUCUCAAAAAUCCAAUACCCUAGGAGACAUAGGGAGCCAGGUUUAGCGGUAGAGGGGAUGAAUUUGCAGGUAACUAAAGAACAGUAUAGUUGAUUGGGAGGUUCAGGGCCUGCAGUGUGCAGUGGAACUGACCUGUACUCGCCCUGCUUCCCCAAACGGGUGACCUUGGUCAAGCACUCCCAUUUCUCUGCUUCAGUGUGCUCAUUCAUAAAAUAAUCAUCUGCUCGUCGGGUUAAUGCCAGUUCUAAAUGAGAUGAUCUGGGGAAAACUUUUAGCACAGAGCCUGGCAUAUAGUAACAGCUCAAUAAAUGGUGGCAGCCCUCAUUAGUGAUGUGAUAAUUGUGCUAAUGGGGAAGCGUACACAUUGCAUCUGCAUUGGGAGCCUGGCCAAGGUACAGAUUAAGGUGCUGGGUUCAGGCCAAGCUCGAGGAAGCAAACGAGGGCUGCAGUUUACGCCGGAAAAUUAGGUGGGUGUUGACUUGGGCAGAUGGCAGCCCAGCCCUUAAAAAAAAAAAAAAAAGUCCGGAAAUAGGAACAUUGGAUGCAUGCCUCUCUCUCUAGGGUGGGAACAAGGGACAGGAGAGCAAAUCAAUGGGCUUAAAAAGUCAAAGCAGGUCAAGUGGGCCGGGUGUGGUGGCUCAUGCCUGUAAUCCCAGCUCCUUGGGAGGCCAAGGUGAGCGAAUCACCUGAGGUCAGGAGUUCAAGACCAGCCUGGCCAAUAUGGUGAAACCCCGUCUCCACUAAACAUACAAAAAUUAGCCAGGCGUGGUGGCACAUGCCUGUAACCGCACCUACUUGGGAGGCUGAGGAAAGAGAAUCACCUGAACCCGGGAGGCGGAGGCUUCAGUGAGCCAAGAUUGUGCCACUGCGCUCCAACCUGGGCAAUAGAGUGAGACUCCAUCUCAAAAAAUAAAAUAAGGCUGGGUGCCAUGGUUCAUGCCUGUAAUCCCAACGCUUGGGGAGGCUGAGGCGGGCAGAUCACCUGAGGCCAGGAGUUCAAGACCAGCGUGGCCAACAUGGUGAAAUCCCAUCUCUACUAAAAAUACAAAAAUUAGAUGGGCAUGGUGGCAUGUACAUGUAAUCUCAGCUACUCAGGAGACUGAGGCACAAGAAUCAUUUGAACCCUGGAGGCGGAGUUUUCAGGGAGCUGAGAUCCGGCCACUGCACUCCAGCCUGGGCAACAGAUUGAGGCUCUGUCUCAAUAAAAUAAAAUAAAAUAAAAUGAAUAAAAUAAAAUAAAAUAAACCCAGGUCAACUGCUCCAAGGAACAGUCUGCCUUCACCUGUCAGCAUUUGUGGAGGCUAGUGAAGCACAUGCUGUUGUUGGCGUGGAGAAUCAUGAACUGAUGGUGGUGGCUGUAUGAACCGCUUCGUGGGCAGUGGAUCCGACCAGAGCUGAACUUUAGAAAAGAUCUGUUGCUUGGAUAAGGAACAGAUUCGGUUGCUCAACCCAACCUGCCCUUAUCGCCAAUGACCCAGCUCAACGUUCUCUCUGGUUUAGAGGAAAACAAACAGGACGUUAGGAAGUAACCAGAUCAGAUGGUCAGAGGUGGAUCUAGGGGGAGCCGGGACACUCUCUAACGCUCCUCCAGCAGGAGAUGUCCUGGGCGGUGCCUAGAGGAAUGUGAUGGCUUCACACAUGUGGAAGAGCCUAGCGAGUGAGGCUCCCUGCAGCUAUGGAUGUCCACUGCAGCCUCAUGUCCUGGCCUCGCCCUCCCAGUAUGAGCUUGGAAUUUUCUUAAACAAGAAAUUUCCAGUGUUGGCCAGGCGCAGUCCCAGCACCUUUGGAGGCUGAGGCGGGUGGGUCACCUGAGGUCAGGAGUUCGAGACCAGCCUGGCUAACAUGGUGAAAUUCUGUCUGUACUAAAAAAUACAAAAAUUAGCUGGGCCUGGUGGCGUGUGCCUGUAGUUCCAGCUACUUAGGAGGCGGAAGCAGGAGAAUCGCUUGAACCUGGGAGGCAGACAUUGCAGUGAGCCAAGAUCACGCCACCGCACUCCAGCCUGGGCAACAGAGUGCCUCA
rnacentral:lncRNA from 1 species